rnacentral:lncRNA from 1 species
ACGCAUAAGCAUGGGUAUGAGCAUAGUUUUGACCAGUUGAGGAUUUUGAUCCUCUUGAAGACUUUGGUCCUCCUGAGGAAUUUGAUCUGGGGUUCAGAUUCUUCAGAGGUGAUGUCAUGAGGACAUUUACUUGAAGAUUUUCAAGACAACUUUUGGGAACCCAGAUUUUCCUCAGAGGAGGGCCAUUCCUGCAGUUAGUUCCAACAUAU